rnacentral:tRNA from 1 species
CAGAGCGUGGCCGAGUAAAACAAGCAUCUCCCUUACACCGAGAAGACAUCCAUGCAAGUUGGAUCGCUCUGA